CCCUUAGAGUUUGAUCCUGGCUCAGAACGAACGCUGGCGGCGUGGAUAAGACAUGCAAGUCGAACGAGAGAAUUGCUAGCUUGCUAAUAAUUCUCUAGUGGCGCACGGGUGAGUAACACGUGAGUAACCUGCCCCCAAGAGUGGGAUAGCCCCGGGAAACUGGGAUUAAUACCGCAUAAAAUCGCAAGAUUAAAGCAGCAAUGCGCUUGGGGAUGGGCUCGCGUCCUAUUAGUUAGUUGGUGAGGUAACGGCUCACCAAGGCGAUGACGGGUAGCCGGUCUGAGAGGAUGUCCGGCCACACUGGAACUGAGACACGGUCCAGACACCUACGGGUGGCAGCAGUCGAGAAUCAUUCACAAAGGGGGAAACCCUGAUGGUGCGACGCCGCGUGGGGGAAUGAAGGUCUUCGGAUUGUAAACCCCUGUCAUGUGGGAGCAAAUAAAAA
rnacentral:rRNA from 1 species